UAUAACUCUAUUUUUCAGUUUUCUGAUACAAUGUUUUAACGCUUCGUCUUAUUUAAAAUAUUUUUGUGAUUAAUAUUUUUAUUGUUACUAAAUGAAAAAUAUUAAUAAUAUUUUAUGCGUGACUAAUUUAAAGUUUUUUAUAAAUUUUUCAAAUAAGACGAAUGAUCAAAUAUUGGGCACAUAAAAACGAAAAAUGAAGUUAUU
rnacentral:pre_miRNA from 1 species